ensembl:snoRNA
GUCGCACUUAAACUCAACACUCUUUUUCUUGCAGCAGUGGUUUAAACAGAGGAACAAACAGGAAGAUCUUGUCACCUUUGAGGGGCUGUGGUUGUGCCCCUCAAAGUGACUUUGGAGGUUCUACACCA